rnacentral:rRNA from 1 species
GACGAACGCUGGCGGCGCGCUUAACACAUGCAAGUCGAACGGAAAGGCCUGCUUUCCCUUGUGGAUUGCGGGUACUCGCGUGGCGAACGGGUGAGUAACACGUGAGUUAUCUGCCCCCAACUUUGGUAUAAGCCUGGGAAACUGGGUCUAAUUCCCGAUAGGACUGCAGGGUGGUGCCUGUGGUGGAAAACGAUUUUCUAGUGGUUGGGGAUGAGCUCGCGGCCUAUCAGCUUGUUGGUGGGGUAAUGGCCUACCAAGGCGGCGACGGGUAGCCGGCCUGAGAGGGUGGACGGCCACAUUGGGACGGAGAUACGGCCCAGACUCCUACGGGAGGCAGCAGUGGGGAAUAUUGCACAAUGGGCGGAAGACUGAUGCAGCGACGCCGAGUGGGGGAUGACGGCCUUCGGGUUGUAAACUCCUUUCGACCGCGAGGAAGCCACCUGGUUGGAAGGGUGGUGACGGUAGUGGUAGAAGAAGCACCGGCUAACUACGUG